UACGUAGGUGGCGAGCGUUGUCCGGAAUUACUGGGUGUAAAGGGCGUGUAGGCGGGGCGUCAAGUCAGAUGUGAAAUACCGAAGCUUAACUUCGGGGCUGCAUUUGAAACUGGUUGUCUUGAGUGCAGGAGAGGAAAGCGGAAUUCCUAGUGUAGCGGUGAAAUGCGUAGAUAUUAGGAGGAACACCAGUGGCGAAGGCGGCUUUCUGGACUGUAACUGACGCUGAGGCGCGAAAGCGUGGGGAGCAAACAGG
rnacentral:rRNA from 1 species